UAGGGUCAGUACUUAGCUAACGGUGCUUAUGCAUUGAGGAAAGUCCACCCGCCUAGGCUUUGCCUAUAGGCUUUGCCUAAUAUGCGGAUAGCUAAUAUGCACUUGCGGAAGCAAGAUUCGGAGACGGAUGGCAACCACACAGAAACGAGACCUCCAUAAAAUAGGAUGAUGCUUGCGAAGUUUUUGGCGACAAAAACAAGCGCUUUUAAAGCUGCUAAGUUAUAUUAGCAUAACCAGCUGACAUUUUUUAUGGGAAGGAUGAAACGGUGAGCCCUGCAUGGUGCAAGUCUAAAAGCUAUGGCUUUAACGACGCUUAGUUAAAUGCUAAGACAAGCGAUGGCAACAUUGUUGCUGAAUGCUUGACAAAAGGUGGCUUAUUCUGGCCCUA
rnacentral:RNase_P_RNA from 1 species